UACGUAGGGUGCAAGCGUUGUCCGGAAUUAUUGGGCGUAAAGAGCCCGUAGGCGGUUUGUCGCGUCGAAUGUGAAAUCCCGGGGCUCAACCCCGGGUCUGCAUUCGAUACGGGCAGACUAGAGUUCGGUAGGGGAGUCUGGAAUUCCUGGUGUAGCGGUGAAAUGCGCAGAUAUCAGGAGGAACACCGGUGGCGAAGGCGGGACUCUGGGCCGAUACUGACGCUGAGGAGCGAAAGCGUGGGGAGCAAACAGG
rnacentral:rRNA from 1 species